rnacentral:rRNA from 1 species
UACGUAGGGCGCGAGCGUUGUCCGGAAUUAUUGGGCGUAAAGAGCUCGUAGGCGGCUUGUCACGUCGGGUGUGAAAGCCCGGGGCUUAACCCCGGGUCUGCAUUCGAUACGGGCAGGCUAGAGUGUGGUAGGGGAGAUCGGAAUUCCUGGUGUAGCGGUGAAAUGCGCAGAUAUCAGGAGGAACACCGGUGGCGAAGGCGGAUCUCUGGGCCAUUACUGACGCUGAGGAGCGAAAGCGUGGGGAGCGAACAGG